CCCGACCCGAGACAAUUCGGAGCCUGCUGUUCCCGUCGAGACCAAGUCCAGAGGCGAUGGCUUCUGGAAAGGCUGGUAAGUUCAAUUUGUCUUUAUUAUAAACAAAACCAUAACUUUUUUUAAUUUUAAUUUUAAUUAAAUUUGUGCGUUGAAUUAUUAUUAUUAUGUUAUUGUAGUUGCGCUGCAUUGUGCUGCUGCUGUGUGCUGGACGCCUGUUUCUGAGGGACCGGUGUCGAAUAUUUGGGAAGAUGAUGAUGAUGAUGAUGAUGACAAUUAUUAAUUAAUUGUUGCUUUUGUUUUUAGUUUUUUUUUUGAAUUAAUAUAUAGUUUUUUAAAUUGCGCGCCGUGCUUGACUAUCAUACUUCAUCAUAAAUAAUGUAAUGCAA
rnacentral:lncRNA from 1 species